ACUACGGGUGGCAGCAGUGGGGAAUAUUGCACAAUGGGGGAAACCCUGAUGCAGCGACGCCGCGUGAGUGAAGAAGUAUUUCGGUAUGUAAAGCUCUAUCAGCAGGGAAGAAAAUGACGAUAGCUGCCCACGAAGAACCGGCUAACUACUAGCCAGCAGCCGCGGGAAUACGUAGGGGGCAAGCGUUAUCCGGCUUUACUGGUUGUAAAGGGAGCGUAGACGGCAGGGCCAGUAUGGAGUGAAAGGCGGGGGCUCAACCCCCGGACUGCUCUGGAAACUGCCAGGCGGGAGUGCAGGAGAGGUAAGUGGAAUUCCUAGUGUAGCGGUGAAAUGCGUAGAUAUUAGGAGGAACACCAGUGGCGAAGGCGGCUUACUGGACUGUAACUGACGUUGAGGCUCGAAAGCGUGGGGAGCAAACAGGAUUAGAUACCCCGGUAGUC
rnacentral:rRNA from 1 species